rnacentral:lncRNA from 1 species
UUAUUUAUAUGUCAUACUUUCCUUUUUAUUGUUCAAGAAAAAAUAAAUUAUUUACUUUAUCAUUAUUGAGAUAAUUUAUAACUACACAAACAAUAAUGACUUAUUCUAAUAUCACAAAUUUAAAAUAUCUUCAUUCCUUUCUUAAAUUUCAUUCCCAAUCAAAUAUCGCUAUAUAAAUUCAGACGAAAGGAAUAGUAAAUCUUUUCUCCAUGCGUC